rnacentral:rRNA from 1 species
CUGCAGUCGAGGGGUAACGGGGAAGCUUGCUUCCGCCGACGACCGGCGCACGGGUGCGUAACGCGUAUACAAUCUACCUUAUACUGGGGUAUAGCCUUUAGAAAUGAAGAUUAAUCCCCCAUAGUCUCUUAAAGUGGCAUCACUUAAGGAGUAAAGGUUACGGUAUAAGAUGAGUAUGCGUUCUAUUAGUUUGUUGGUGUGGUAACGGCACACCAAGACUACGAUAGAUAGGGGCCCUGAGAGGGGGAUCCCCCACACUGGUACUGAGACACGGACCAGACUCCUACGGGAGGCAGCAGUGAGGAAUAUUGGACAAUGGAGGCAACUCUGAUCCAGCCAUGCCGCGUGCAGGAUGACUGCCCUAUGGGUUGUAAACUGCUUUUAUACAGGAAGAAACUUACACACGUGUGUGUAACUGACGGUACUGUAAGAAUAAGGAUCGGCUAACUCCGUGCCAGCAGCCGCGGUAAU